rnacentral:rRNA from 1 species
AGCAGCCGCGGUAAUUCCAGCUCCAAUAGCGUAUAUUAAAGUUGUUGCAGUUAAAAAGUUCGUAGUUGAAUUUCGGGGUUAGUAGGCUGGUCGUGCCACCGGUACGUACUGGUCUUACUGAUUCCUCCUUCCUGAUGAAUUGUAAUGCCAUUAAUUUGGUGUUGCAGGGAAUCUGGACUGUUACUUUGAAAAAAUUAGAGUGUUUAAAGCAGGCUAACGCUUGAAUACAUUAGCAUGGAAUAAUGAAAUAGGACGUUCGAUCCUAUUUUGUUGGUUUCUAGGAUUGAUGUAAUGAUUAAUAGGGAUAGUUGGGGGCAUUAGUAUUCAAUUGUCAGAGGUGAAAUUCUUGGAUUUAUUGAAGACUAACUACUGCGAAAGCAUUUGCCAAGGAUGUUUUCAUUAAUCAAGAACGAAAGUUAGGGGAUCGAAGACGAUCAGAUACCGUCGUAGUCUUAACCAUAAACUAUGCCGACUAGGGAUCGGAUGAUGUUAAUUUUUUAAUGACUCA